UACGAAGGGGGCUAGCGUUGCUCGGAAUCACUGGGCGUAAAGCGCACGUAGGCGGCUUUCUAAGUCAGGGGUGAAAUCCUGGAGCUCAACUCCAGAACUGCCUUUGAUACUGGAGAGCUUGAGUCCGGAAGAGGUGAGUGGAACUCCGAGUGUAGAGGUGAAAUUCGUAGAUAUUCGGAAGAACACCAGUGGCGAAGGCGGCUCACUGGUCCAUAACUGACGCUGAGGCACGAAAGCGUGGGGAGCAAACAGG
rnacentral:rRNA from 1 species